AUACGGAGGGUCCGAGCGUUGUUCGGAAUCAUUGGGCGUAAAGCGCGUGUAGGCGGCUUGGCAAGUCGGAUGUGAAAUCCCGGGGCCCAACCCCGGAACUGCACUCGAAACUGCCUCGCUAGAGUCUCGGAGAGGAAGGCGGAAUUCCCGGUGUAGAGGUGAAAUUCGUAGAUAUCGGGAGGAACACCAGCGGCGAAGGCGGCCUUCUGGACGAUGACUGACGCUGAGACGCGAAAGCGUGGGGAGCAAACAGGAGUAGAAACCCCGGUAGUCC
rnacentral:rRNA from 1 species